GAAUGAUUAGAAAAAAUAGACUUUGAAAGCCGAAAUAUCCAAUCGACAACGACAGAAGAUAUGGUGAGUUGGAGAGUUUGAGCUUUCAAAACACACACAAAACAUUUCCAAAGAAAGUCAAACUAUCAAUUAUGAUAGUUGAUUAGACCCCUGAGUAUACACUCGGAAGGUUCUAAUUUGGUUAUCAUUGUCCCGUUGGGUUUUAGUAGCCCAACUUAUUUUAUCGUCUAGUGUGAAACUUCUGUAUAUGAGGGUUUGAUAUCUGAGUGAGUUUAGAUCUAUAUUUGAUGUUCUCAUCGGUUGGGUUUUACUCAAUCAAGUGAUUUAUAAAGGCAAACCUACACUUAACAUUCAACAAGGCUCCAUAAUAAUGACAAAGUCGUGAGGAUAAUUUGAUUUAUCCAGAGUUAAUCAGAAUCCUAGAUUGAACAAUAUUGUUAGUGUGUCAAAUGACAAACUUGUAUGAUAUUGUUUUUUAGGUUAAAAAAAAGAAGAAUUAUGUAGGAAGAAGCAUGGGCAUCAACAUACUUUCAGCCUUUGUACUUUGUACACUCGGGGUCAGUUAUUGCGGCGAGGGAGGUAUCGGAAGAAGGAAGCAUGAAUAUCGGUGUAUGGGCUUUGCCCUUGGUUCUUCAUUAUAAGUUCGAUGCCGUUAUAGGCUUCUGGCUUUCUAGUGAACAGAUGGAUUGCAAAGGGCUAUAAGAAUGGGCCUUCAUUUUCAGAGGUUUACUAUUGGGCCUCUAUUUGUCUUGGGUUUUGACUGUGGGCCGUUCUUCAACCUCUGAUUCCAUAUAUAAAUAUAAAAACCGCCAAUCCAUUUUCACUCAAAUUAGACACUGAAAGAACGGGAGGGAAGGAAUCGUCGUCGGAUCGGAGAAUGACUUGAUUUCAUCAAAACUCGACACGCCUUGCGUCGUUCUUUCAUUGAAAUCGAUUGAAAGCGGGAGAAGAAAUCCUUAGUUUAAGGAGAAUUCAGACAUGUCAGCUCUCUUCAAUUUCCAUUCAUUCUUAACAGUGGUGCUAUUGGGACUCUGUACAUGCACUUAUCUGAAGAUGCAUUUUCCGGCUAUUCUUGAGCAGAGAAUGGAGUUUCGCGGUUUCUUUUGGAAGGCGGCAAGAAUUGGUGAACGGUUAAGCCCCUGGAUGGCUGUAGGAUGCUUUUCAAUGGGAGUUUCAAUAAUAUUUUUCUGAGCUAGAACCAUCUUGUCUUUCAGAACUUCUGUAGAUGGUGGCCUUGAAAUGAAAGGAUCUUACGCCAAGCGCUUCAACAAAGAUUGCGACAAGAGAUGACAAAAAAGGAUGGCCUUUUGUACUAAGGGGAGUUUCCUUCUUCUUCUUCCUUGUCUCCCCUC